GCCUUCUCCUCCUCCUCGAAAGAGCAGAUGGGAAACUGGCAGGUUUCGCUCAUGGCGAAACGUACCUUCGGAUUGGGUGGCAUUGGAAAAUAUCAGACCCCAUGUCGAUCGGAGCUAUUAUUGCUGCGAUGGAGUCACUAAGUGGAGCUCUGGAUGUGGGUCCAGGUCCGCGGCGCCGUGUUUGGAGGUUUUUCAUUAACUUCAUAGGUUUGUAUUGCUUGGUAGGGGCGCCCUGCUGUUCGGCCUCCGGGCGAUUUUCCACCUUGGAGUGACCCUGUAUCUGCCUAUCUUCUCUGGUCAUGCUCUGAGCUCGUUUCUAUUGUGAUGAACGCUUUUCGUGUCCCAGCUCUUGUCGAGCUUGCUCAAGAUGAGCCAACAGGGGGAGCACCAUUUUGACGUGCUGACCCCAGGGUAAGCUCAGCUGUGUAUGCGACACUUUUGAUUGCGAGCAUGGUAGUUGUGUCCCGAUACUGGUCGCGCUGAUCUGCUGCCUCAACAAAUGUUUCUUGUGCUUGGUCGGUAAGACAUUGAAGUGAUGGGGGGGGGGGGGG